UACAGAGGUCCCGAGCGUUGUUCGGAUUCAUUGGGCGUAAAGGGUGCGUAGGCGGUGGGGUAAGUUGGAUGUGAAAGCCUUGAGCUCAACUCAAGAAAUGCAUUCAGGACUGGGCGGCUAGAGGACCGGAGAGGAUAGUGGAAUUCCCAGUGUAGUGGUGAAAUACGUAGAGAUUGGGAAGAACACCCGUGGCGAAGGCGGCUCUCUGGGACGGUACUGACGCUGAGACGCGAAAGCGUGGGGAGCGAACAGG
rnacentral:rRNA from 1 species